GCACAUGCGCAGAAUCAUCGUGGUGCACGGCUCUCCCUUUGCUUCUUCGGUUGCAGUCCUCUUGCUUCUUGCGCGUGCGUGUAGCGCUUUUGCAAAGCCGCGGAGGUGAAGUGAACUUAGAGGUUGUGGGGCCGAGGGGUCGUCUUAUAGCUACCAGCCCACAGGCAUUUAGUCUACGUUGGAGGUAAACAAAUACGGGUCCUGCUUAGGAGAAAAGAAAAACGUCUUACAGCCAGUGUCUAAACUCCAAACAACGGAAUGUAUCAAUGAGACCUUGUAUAUGGAUACACGUGCAUUUAAAACCGCCCUGCCGGCUUGUAGAGCUUUUGCCGUUCUCCAGCGCUUUACAGGGGUUAUCGCACUUAAGCCUCGGAACAACUUUACCAGAUGAGGACACCUGAGGUUCAGAUUAAGAAAUCUGCCCCAAAGUCUUAGAACUGGUGCUGCGUUGCCAUCUUUAAAGUCAUCCCACUGGACCACAUCAGUAUUGCAAGCUGCUUGGGUAUCAUUAAUGAAGACAAAGUGGGAUUAUUAUUUUCUAUGAUUUGGGCUUUUGAGUGGGGUUUAAUCUGGACUGAAUUGGAGGAAAGGAACUGGCACCAGAGUGGAGGCUGGAAGGAUGGUGGAACUGACACUGGGACAGAACACAGAAAACAGAAUCUAAUGCUAUUGCUCUGGCUAUAUCAAAUAAAAGUGUCAAGAGUGAGCAUCCUUGCCUUGUGCUGAAUCACAAAGGAAUACCUUUCAGUUUUUCUCCAUUGAUUAUGAUAGCAGUGGGCUUUUCACAGUGGGCUUUACUGUGUUGAGGUACCCUAAUGACAAGUUCACCCCAGUGUUUUCUGAGGAGUCUACCUGGAAAUGAGAACCAUCUGUCCUUCCUAUAGUAGUUCUUCUCAGAAUGCCGACUCUAUGCUAAUG
ensembl:lncRNA DLEU1 deleted in lymphocytic leukemia 1